CAAUAGCGUAUAUUUAAGUUGUUGCAGUUAAAAAGCUCGUAGUUGGAUUUCGGUUAAGAGCGACCGGUCCGCCGUUUGGUGUGCACUGGUUGGUUUUAACUUCCUGUAGAGGACGUGCUCCGGGUUUAACGACCUGGACUCGGAGUCUACGUGGUUACUUUGAAAAAAUUAGAGUGUUCAAAGCGGGCUUACGCUUGAAUAUUUCAGCAUGGAAUAACACUAUAGGACUCCUGUCCUAUUUCGUUGGUCUCGGGACGGGAGUAAUGAUUAAGAGGAACAGUUGGGGGCAUUCGUAUUUCAUUGUCAGAGGUGAAAUUCUUGGAUUUAUGAAAGACGAACUUCUGCGAAAGCAUUUGCCAAGGAUGUUUUCAUUAA
rnacentral:rRNA from 1 species